UACGUAGGCAGCAAGCGUUGUUCGGAGUUACUGGGUCGUAAAGGGUGUGUAGGCGGUUGUUUAAGUUUGGUGUGAAAUCGUCCCGGCCUCAACCGGGAGGGUGCGCCGAAUACUGAGUGACUAGAGUGCGGGAGAGGAAAGUGGAAUUCCUGGUGGUAAGCGGUGAAAUGCGUAGAUAUCAGGAGGAACACCGGUGGUGUAGACGGCUUUCUGGACCGUAACUGACGCUGAGACACGAAAGCGUGGGUAGCAAACAGG
rnacentral:rRNA from 1 species